UAACUAUAUUUGAUAUGUGCGUACCUUGCAAGGUCCUUGUGUCUGUCAGACAGUUUUCACUUGACCUCGACCUCAUUUCAUGGAUCAGUGAACAAGGUUAAGUUUUGGUGGUCAAGUCCAUAUCUCAGAUACUAUAAGCAAUAGGGCUAGUAUAUUCGGUGUAUGGAAGGACUGUAAGGUGUACAUGUCCAACUGGCAGGUGUCAUCUGACCUUGACCUCAUUUUCAUGGUUCA
rnacentral:lncRNA from 1 species